AUGGCACCGGAGGUACUACGUAAUGAACCAUCUAACGAGGAGUGUGACGUCUAUAGUUUUGGAGUAAUCCUGUGGGAACUAGCAAUCUUGCAUGUACCAUGGAGUGGGCUGAAUCCAAUGCUAGUUGUAGGAGCAGUUGGGUUCCGGAACAGACGACUGUUUGUGUUUUGUUUUUUGUUUUUUGAAAGAGGCUUCAUUGCCGGUUGCAAUACUUAUGCUUGUCAGCUUGUAUAUUUGAUUGGAUAGCUGCUGAAACUAAUGCAUAUUUGCUUGGAUAGCUGCUGAAACUAAUGCAUAUUUGCUUGUAACCUA